CAAUCCGGAAACAGCUUGGCUUGAACAUCUGGACCGGGAAAAUGUUUGACGCUGGAAGCUACAAGCUAGCAUGAACAUGACAACUGAGACAGGAACACCGUGUGUGCAUCCACAACGAACCGCGCCAGGUGGUGCUGAAACCAAAAAGCUCAAGCAGUGGCAGUUUAUAUGGACAACCGCUCAUGUAUGGCACCAUCUUGUGGAGGCCGACAAACUGGCUAGGACUGCCUCUGAGCUCAAGGCAUAA